GCCAGGUGUGGUGGCACAUGCUUAUAAUCCCAGCUACUCAGGAUGUUGAAACUGGAGGAUUACUUGAGCCCAGGAGUUGUAGACCAACCUAGGCAACAUAGUGAGAUUUCACUUUCAA
rnacentral:sRNA from 1 species